rnacentral:misc_RNA from 1 species
UCUACUACCCCAUUGCUAUUACCUGCAUGAUUGAAAAAACAAAAAUCUAGGAUGUUGCAACUUUGACAAUAUAAUAAUAAUAGAUUAAAGUUCACAAGUGAUGUAAUGGCAUGUGUCUGAUGCAGCGAGAAAUUAUUUCAAGCUUCAGUCAAUUGAAGGAAUUAAGGAUGGCACUAAUUUGGCACCUUCCAACCUAUCACUCGGGAAUAAAUUUCAAGAGUUGUACUUGAACUUUAGGAACUGUAACAGAAUUGUCCAUGAACUUAAAAAUGUAAUAUAAAACCUUCUGAACUUUAAAAUUUUACACGGUAAAAUCCUUCUAAUCAUCAAUAGCCAAUUUAUGUAAUUCAGAGUAACAGUAACACGAAUAAUUGUCUCUCCUCUAUGUGACAGUGGCAAAACUAGUUAUGAUUUUUUUCACAGAUUAACCACAAAAGAAUUUUAGCUAUACGAGAUAAUAAAUCACUAAAUGUAUAACUGAUUAGAGGGAUUUUCUCUUCAAAAAACAACAAAAAUCAUUCACAUUAUCACCACUUCAUAUUGUCCACAUUAGCGUGUUACUUCUAAACUGAUUAUUGAGAGCGAAAAAAAUUUUACCGUGCAAAAUUUCAAAGUUCAAGAAGUUUUAUGUUAUAUCUCUAAGUUCAGGGAUAACUCUACUACAACCCCUAAAGUUCAAGGAUGGCCAUUAAAAUUAAUCCUAUCACUCUGUCAUAGCUAAGCUAACUCAAACAGUCUCAAGUGCAAUAUAGGCUUAUAGAGUCAUUAGAGAGAUGGUUCCAAUUGUUAGUAAUUACUAUUUUAGAUUGAGUUCUUUUAACUCUAAUAGAUUUUAGUCAUCUACAAGUCCUCUUUUCCAGCAACUUAAGUUUCAUUCUCCUCUUAGAAAUCUGUGAUUAGGUAGCAUAAGUUUACCAAUAUUUUGUGUCUAAACAUCACUUUUAAUAAAAAAAUUUCCCCACACCCCGGAAUAAAACCUCGGCUUCACUCUAAUUUCAGUCCUACCCUUUAUGCUUAAGUGCAGUUGAUUUAUGCUAUUUUUAUAGAAAUCACAUUACAACUUCACAAAACGUAAUAUUUUCUUGAAGACAACGAGAUUUAAUACAAUCACGGAAAUUAUCUAUACUCUUUCUUCCUCGACCAUUAUGACUUUUGCUUUGCUUGCUAAUUAAAUAGCACGCAAAUAUUAAACUUAAGCUACAGAUAGUCAAUGGAGAAAUGCAUAUGUACCAAUAAAGAGAGCAUAAAAAGAACAUGAGUAAGUACCAGUGAGAAGUGUGAGCUUACCUCGCUCAUCGUCAUAUUCAGCUAAUGGCUUUACU